rnacentral:rRNA from 1 species
GAUGAACGCUGGCGGCGUGCCUAAUACAUGCAAGUCGAGCGAACAGACGAGGAGCUUGCUCCUCUGACGUUAGCGGCGGACGGGUGAGUAACACGUGGAUAACCUACCUAUAAGACUGGGAUAACUUCGGGAAACCGGAGCUAAUACCGGAUAAUAUAUUGAACCGCAUGGUUCAAUAGUGAAAGACGGUUUUGCUGUCACUUAUAGAUGGAUCCGCGCCGCAUUAGCUAGUUGGUAAGGUAACGGCUUACCAAGGCGACGAUGCGUAGCCGACCUGAGAGGGUGAUCGGCCACACUGGAGCUGAGACACGGUCCAGACUCCUACGGGAGGCAGCAGUAGGGAAUCUUCCGCAGUGGGCGAAAGCCUGACGGAGCAACGCCGCGUGAGUGAUGAAGGUCUUCGGAUCGUAAAACUCUGUUAUUAGGGAAGAACAAAUGUGUAAGUAACUAUGCACGUCUUGACGGUACCUAAUCAGAAAGCCACGGCUAACUACGU